GCCCUCGUGGUGUAACGGUAGCACACUCGUGUAUUCGAGAGAUCCAGGUUCGAAUCCCGGCAAGGGCA
rnacentral:tRNA from 1 species